AUACGGAGGGUGCAAGCGUUACUCGGAAUCACUGGGCGUAAAGCGCGCGCAGGCGGCUAUUUAAGUUGGAUCUGAAAGCCUACGGCUCAACCGUAGAACUGCAUCCAAAACUAUUUAGCUAGAGUGUGGGAGAGGAAGAUGGAAUUAGUUGUGUAGGGGUAAAAUCCGUAGAGAUAACUAGGAAUACCAAAAGCGAAGGCAAUCUUCUGGAACACUCCUGACGCUGAGGCGCGAAAGCGUGGGGAGCAAACGGGAUUAGAUACCCUAGUAGUCC
rnacentral:rRNA from 1 species